UACGUAGGGGGCUAGCGUUGUCCGGAAUUAUUGGGCGUAAAGAGUUCGUAGGCGGUUAUUUAAGUCUGGUGUUAAAGACGGGAGCUCAACUCCCGCAUGGCAUUGGAAACUGGAUAGCUAGAGUACGGUAGAGGUCUCGGGAAUUCCAGGUGUAGCGGUGAAAUGCGUAGAUAUCUGGAGGAACACCGGUGGCGAAAGCGCGAGACUGGGCCGUAACUGACGCUGAGGAACGAAAGCCAGGGUAGCCAAAGGG
rnacentral:rRNA from 1 species